AUGCAAGUCGAGCGAACAGAUAAGGAGCUUGCUCCUUUGACGUUAGCGGCGGACGGGUGAGUAACACGUGGGUAACCUACCUAUAAGACUGGGAUAACUUCGGGAAACCGGAGCUAAUACCGGAUAACAUUUGGAACCGCAUGGUUCUAAAGUGAAAGAUGGUUUUGCUAUCACUUAUAGAUGGACCCGCGCCGUAUUAGCUAGUUGGUAAGGUAACGGCUUACCAAGGCGACGAUACGUAGCCGACCUGAGAGGGUGAUCGGCCACACUGGAACUGAGACACGGUCCAGACUCCUACGGGAGGCAGCAGUAGGGAAUCUUCCGCAAUGGGCGAAAGCCUGACGGAGCAACGCCGCGUGAGUGAUGAAGGGUUUCGGCUCGUAAAACUCUGUUAUUAGGGAAGAACAAAUGUGUAAGUAACUGUGCACGUCUUGACGGUACCUAAUCAGAAAGCCACGGCUAACUACGUGCCAGCAGCCGCGGUAAUACGUAGGUGGCAAGCGUUAUCCGGAAUUAUUGGGCGUAAAGCGCGCGUAGGCGGUUUCUUAAGUCUGAUGUGAAAGCCCACGGCUCAACCGUGGAGGGUCAUUGGAAACUGGGAAACUUGAGUGCAGAAGAGGAAAGUGGAAUUCCAUGUGUAGCGGUGAAAUGCGCAGAGAUAUGGAGGAACACCAGUGGCGAAGGCGACUUUCUGGUCUGUAACUGACGCUGAUGUGCGAAAGCGUGGGGAUCAAACAGGAUUAGAUACCCUGGUAGUCCACGCCGUAAACGAUGAGUGCUAAGUGUUAGGGGGUUUCCGCCCCUUAGUGCUGCAGCUAACGCAUUAAGCACUCCGCCUGGGGAGUACGACCGCAAGGUUGAAACUCAAAGGAAUUGACGGGGACCCGCACAAGCGGUGGAGCAUGUGGUUUAAUUCGAAGCAACGCGAAGAACCUUACCAAAUCUUGACAUCCUUUGAAAACUCUAGAGAUAGAGCCUUCCCCUUCGGGGGACAAAGUGACAGGUGGUGCAUGGUUGUCGUCAGCUCGUGUCGUGAGAUGUUGGGUUAAGUCCCGCAACGAGCGCAACCCUUAAGCUUAGUUGCCAUCAUUAAGUUGGGCACUCUAGGUUGACUGCCGGUGACAAACCGGAGGAAGGUGGGGAUGACGUCAAAUCAUCAUGCCCCUUAUGAUUUGGGCUACACACGUGCUACAAUGGACAAUACAAAGGGCAGCUAAACCGCGAGGUCAUGCAAAUCCCAUAAAGUUGUUCUCAGUUCGGAUUGUAGUCUGCAACUCGACUACAUGAAGCUGGAAUCGCUAGUAAUCGUAGAUCAGCAUGCUACGGUGAAUACGUUCCCGGGUCUUGUACACACCGCCCGUCACACCACGAGAGUUUGUAACACCCGAAGCCGGUGGAGUAACCAUUUAUGGAGCU
rnacentral:rRNA from 1 species